rnacentral:lncRNA from 1 species
UCGUUAUUAAGUCUUUCCACUUUUCUGUGGAAAGACUUAUUGUUUUUCUUCUUCUGAUUUUUAUUUUUUUUUCCGCCAAAUUUUGUUCUUGCGAUAAAUGUUUGUUUCGCAAUAUGUCGCUUAGAUAUUUCUCAUAUGGUAUCGUAUAGUUUAUGCGCUUUUAAAUUUCACCCUGCUAAGCCGAACUAUUUUCUUUGUAAGAGUUAUCUCCCUAUUCACUGUUUACUAUCAGAGUGCAUCUCCUUCGUAACCAAAAAAGAUAGCGACAAAUUUCUUUUUACAAAUUGUUCGUUACAUCCUCAGGAAUUUUUG